UACGGAGGGUGCAAGCGUUAUCCGGAUUUAUUGGGUUUAAAGGGUGCGUAGGCGGGAUAAUAAGUCAGGGGUGAAAGUUUGCAGCUUAACUGUAAAAUUGCCUUUGAAACUGUUAUUCUUGAGUGUAAAUAAGGUAGGCGGAAUGUGUUGUGUAGCGGUGAAAUGCAUAGAUAUAACACAGAACCCCGAUUGCGAAGGCAGCUUACCGGGCUACAACUGACGCUGAUGCACGAAAGCGUGGGGAU
rnacentral:rRNA from 1 species